rnacentral:rRNA from 1 species
UACGGGGGGAGCAAGCGUUGUCCGGAUUUAUUGGGCGUAAAGAGCUCGUAGGCGGCUUGUCGCGUCGACCGUGAAAACUUGGGGCUCAACCCCAAGCCUGCGGUCGAUACGGGCAGGCUCGAGUUCGGUAGGGGAGACUGGAAUUCCUGGUGUAGCGGUGAAAUGCGCAGAUAUCAGGAGGAACACCGGUGGCGAAGGCGGCAUCCUGGACCAAUUCUGACGCUGAUGAGCGAAAGCCAGGGGAGCAAACGGGG